GCUGCCAAACAGGGGAGAUAAUAAUGUCACUUGCCAUAAGAUAUGAGAGAAAAGUUUGAAUUUUGGUGUUACUGAGUAUGUAGAGCAACAUAUGUAUGAAUUACAGGUUUUCAUAAAAUCCUGUCAAAAAAAAACAAAAAAACUAAACAUUAUUUGUGUGUAAAACACAUUGCUAAACAAAGGAAGUAAUGAAAUUGUUUAUUCUGAUAUUGUAAGAGAAAAUAGCUGUAAUGUUGUUGGUUGUAAAAGAGUUAAGUUCUUCCUGAAAACAAAUUUCAGUGUAACAGCUCUGGAAUCAUAUAAUUAGUUCCUACACAUUUGAUAGCAUGCCAUCUAUCAGUUUAGCCUGAAGUGCCAAGAUUGUUUUCAUUUCACCAGAUGCUUCUUCUAUAACAUCUAUUGGUUGGAGAGUUACUUCUCAGAAACUCUAGAAGAGAGAGAGAAAGGAAAAAAAAAAGAAAAACAAAAAAAGGAGAAGAAAAAGAAACUGAAUUUAAAAACGUGAAGAUUACUCUCCUAAGUAAUUAACUUUUCCAAAGUUUCCCCAAGUAAGCCUGCCCAGGGAUUGAGUUGUGUGCAACUUCUUUUACUUUCAAAGCACUUUACAGCUGAUGAAUUAAGAUCUAGACCAUAUUGGAGUGAUUCAAGAAGGUGAUAUUAUUGGUAAAAAGAACAGCUUGGUGUAUUGGUGAUCAGUCCACAGCAUUGGAGAGCAUAAAGAUUGAAGUUGCGACGAGAAAAACUUAGCCGACAUGAAUGACUGGAAACAAUGUGGAUAUUGGAAAAGAGUAACCUGUAUGACGAUGGUUUGUACCGAGUGUCAAAAUGCCAAUAUCAUGACUGCUGCUCAAUUCUCUGGACACUAUAAAAACGAUGAGAUGGACAGCUUCAAUGGAGACUACAAAAACACGGUCAUCAGGAAGGGACACAACAGACAAUAUGACUGAGUCCACACUCCAGAAUUCAGCCUCACUUCUUUGAAAAGAGCCAUUGGCUUGAUUCAAAUGCUAUGUGAAGCUGCUGGAGACUGGGUUGGUAGCAGGAUUCAACUCCUUGCCAUCCCUCCAGAAAGAGUCAGAAGUAGUUGUCACAGAAUUUCUAUCACUUCACCAGCCCCCCCCCCCCUCAAAUUUCUGGUCUCUUAAUUUUCCUGAUUGUAAUAUCCGGAUUACUAUGUGUAGGGAAUGGUUGAGAAAGACAACAACUGCUGUGCCUGAAGCCCCAAGAUUGCGCUGGUAGCCAAGAUCAAAGUGGUGUUUGAAGAUCUUCCUAGGGACACAGUGAAGAAUGCAUGCACCAGGUUCCAGAGUCAUCAUGAGGCCUGGGUGGAAGCUGAGGGUUGCCACUUUGAGGAAACUUAUCUCUC